rnacentral:tRNA from 3 species
GCCCAGAUGGCGGAAUUGGUAGACGCGCUAGACUCAAAAUCUGGUAUUCGCAAGGAUGUGCAGGUUCGAUUCCUGUUCUGGGCA